rnacentral:tRNA from 1 species
GGCGGCAUAGCCAAGCGGUAAGGCCAGGGACUGCAACUCCCUUACCACCGGUUCGAGUCCGGUUGCCGCCUCCA